rnacentral:rRNA from 1 species
UCUGAAUCUGCGNACGGCUCCGCAAACCAGUUGUAAACUAUAGCAAGCAAGCUCGUGCCCUUCACCGGGUGCGGGCAACACGGAUAACCCUGGUAAUUCUGAGGCUAAUACGAGAUCGUACUCCCUGGCUGACCGGGCAACUGGAAGGCUGGGAGGUGUGUGAUUUAGCACGAGGAAUCUGCUGGGAAUAGACACAUGCCUGGACCGCGCCAAAAACAGAUGGGGCUUCCCGCAAGGGUCGUCCUGCCUGAGCGGCUCUUGCUUUGUGCUUCUGACCUAUCAACUAGAUGGCAGCGUAACGGACAUGCUAUGGUGACAACGGGUACAG